GGGAAUAUUAGUAAUGGGCGAAAGCCUGAACUAGCAACGCCGCGUGUGCGAAGAAGGCCUUCGGGUUGUAAAGCACUUUUUGAGAGGAUGAGGAAGGACGGUACUCUCAGAAUAAGUCUCGGCUAACUACGUGCCAGCAGCCGCGGUAACACGUAGGAGGCGAACGUUAUCCGGAUUUACUGGGCGUAAAGCGCGUGUAGGUGGUUUGGUAAGUAGGGCGUGAAAGCUCCUGGCUCAACUGGGACAGGCCGUUCUAAACUGCCGAACUAGAGGAUGGUAGAGGGAGGUGGAAUUCCGGGUGUAGCGGUGGAAUGCGCAGAUAUCCGGAGGAACACCAGUGGCGAAAGCGGCCUCCUGGACCAUUCCUGACACUCAGACGCGAAAGCUAGGGUAGCAAACGG
rnacentral:rRNA from 1 species